rnacentral:rRNA from 1 species
GACGAACGCUGGCGGCGUGCCUAAUACAUGCAAGUCGAACGCAGUGGGGACGGGUGAGUAACACGUGGGUAACCUCCCAUCAGAGGGGAUAACACUUGGAAACAGGUGCUAAACCGAUACUGAUGGAUGGACCCGCGGUGCAUUAGCUAGGUGGUGAGGUAACGGCUCAACAAGGCCACGAUGAAUAGCCGGCCUGAGAGGGUGGUCGGCCACAUGGGGACUGAGACACGGCCCAGACUCCCACGGGAGGCAGCAGUGGGGAAUCUUCGGCAAUGGACGAAAAUCCGACCGGGCCACGCCGCGUUAGGGAAGGAGGUUUUCGGAUCGUAAAUCCCUUGUGUUAGAGAAGCGGUAACUAACCAAAAAGCCACGGGUAACUACGUGCCAGCAGCCGCGGUAAUAC